GUUUUGUCAACAUAGGAAAUGCGUAGUUGCCAUGAGAACUACAACAGGCAAACGCCAGUGGAAGAAUGUGAAAACGUCUUUUGGAAAGUUGAAUAAAUCUGAAGGUUAUAUCGUACGGUUCCAUGCUAAAUUGUUUCCAAACUCGGAAAUUCAAACUUUCCAACUACAAGACUCAUAAGAGCAACUGAUUUAUGUUUCGUGAGAAGGUGGCAUGAAGCGAGUGUAAAAUCAACACUAACAAUCUCGUUCCCCGAGCCUGUAAACACUAACACCUCUAGGGAACACCUUUCCACUUUCCAAACAAUAGCGGGACCGCACCCUAAUAUAAACAAAGAGAGAAGGCCCUCAACAUGAUCAGAUGAAAAAUCUCUAGAAUUCAAAAGAGGCAACAUCAUGGAGCUGUUGCAUACGAGGCUACAUAAGCUGCACUAGAGUUUGAAUAUAUAGAGAGACCUUUCAGACGUUUUUCCAUUGGCCUAUUUGGAACACUGAACGUUUGCGUGAGUUAUAUUUGUUUUUAGAAAGUGUUCUCUAUCAUAAUCCCAAGUUGUUGACAUUUUAAACGCGGCAGAAGAAACCGAAUUAACUCCAUGGUGGCAUUUGGAAACAACUGGAAACUCUCUUCUUUUAUGACGGCACAGGUCUUCUGGCAAGAGAGGAGUUGUAUGUUAGCCAAUGUCUCUGCGUUACAUAUUGCAUUUACGUAAUUUGAGCCGACUCUGAGUACCAGGGGGUAAGCUUGGUAUCCUUACUAGACCUCUAGGGAGAAUAGUU